rnacentral:rRNA from 1 species
CUCUUGUAAGGUGAAGCCUGCCCAAUGACUGUUAAUAAUCCAAUUAAAACCAGUUCAAUGGCCGCGGUAACUCUGACCGUGAUAAAGUAGCAUAAUCACUUGUCACUUAAUUAGUGACUGGAAUGAAUGGCUAAACGAAUCCUCCUCUGUCUCUGAAAGAACUCCGGCGAAUUUGAAAUAACAGUGAAGAUGCUGUUAAAUAAUUGUAAGACGAAAAGACCCUAUCGAGCUUUACUGAAAGCUUGUAAACAAAUAUGAUUAUCACCAACGAACUCUUAAAAAUUAGCAAGCCUGACAGUUUGGUUGGGGCGACCACCCCUAAAAAAGUAUCAGGGGAACUCUAAAGGUUACCAUAAUAUGGAAAAUUGCCUUACUGGAGACAAACAAGUCAAUCAGUUAUAAUUUAUAGGACAUAUUGACCCGUUAUUUUGUUCAUAAUAAAUAACGACUAUGAAAAAAGUUACCGUAGGGAUAACAGGG